GCAAUGAUGAAUACGUUGGUUUGAUCAGCAACGAACUGAAACCAUACAGUCAACUCCUCUAAGAAGUUCUGAGCUC
ensembl:snoRNA